CCUACGGGGGGCUGCAGUGGGGAAUAUUGGACAAUGGGCGCAAGCCUGAUCCAGCAAUACCGCGUGUGUGAAGAAGGCCUUAGGGUUGUAAAGCACUUUCAAUGGGGAGGAAAACCUACCGGUCAAUACCCGGUAGCUUGACAUUACCUGUAGAAGAAGCACCGGCUAACUCCGUGCCAGCAGCCGCGGUAAUACGGAGGGUGCAAGCGUUAAUCGGAAUUACUGGCCGAGGCGGGUGCUUAGGUCGUAUGUGAAAGCCCCGGGCUUAACCUGGGAACUGCAUUUGAAACUGGCGGACUAGAGUUGAGUAGAGGGGAGUGGAAUUUCAGGUGUAGCGGUGAAAUGCGUAGAUAUCUGAAGGAACACCAGUGGCGAAGGCGACUCCCUGGACUCAAACUGACGCUGAGGUACGAAAGCGUGGGUAGCAAACAGGAUUAGAUACUGGUAGUC
rnacentral:rRNA from 1 species